rnacentral:rRNA from 1 species
GUCUACUGCCGUGUCACCCUGAACAAACCCAAUCGAUGUCUGACCUCGGAAGCUAAGCAGGGUUGGGCCUGGUUAGGACUUGCUUGGGAGGCCACCAAGGAAGACCGGGUGCUGUAGGCA